rnacentral:rRNA from 1 species
AGUGAACGCUGGCGGUAGGCCUAACACAUGCAAGUCGAACGGCAGCACAGUAAGAGCUUGCUCUUACGGGUGGCGAGUGGCGGACGGGUGAGGAGUACAUCGGAAUCUACUUUUUCGUGGGGGAUAACGUAGGGAAACUUACGCUAAUACCGCAUACGACCUGCGGGUGAAAGCCGGGGAUCUUCGGACCUUGCGCGAUUGAAUGAGCCGAUGUCGGAUUAGCUAGUUGGCUGGGUAAAGGCCCACCAAGGCGACGAUCCGUAGCUGGUCUGAGAGGAUGAUCAGCCAAACUGGGACGGGGACAAGGCCCAGAACCCCAACGGAGGGCGCAAGAGGGGAAUGUGGGAAAGGGGCGGAAGGCUGAACCAGCCAAGCCGGGGGGGUGAAGAAGGGUUUCGGGUUGGAAAGCCCUGUUGUUAGAGAAGAAAAAGUGUGAGUUUAGCACCUGCAUGUUGUGACGGUACCUAAAAAGAAAGCCCCGGCUAACUACGUG